rnacentral:rRNA from 1 species
GAUGAACGCUGGCGGCGUGCCUAAUACAUGCAAGUCGAGCGAACGGACGAGAAGCUUGCUUCUCUGAUGUUAGCGGCGGACGGGUGAGUAACACGUGGAUAACCUACCUAUAAGACUGGGAUAACUUCGGGAAACCGGAUCUAAUACCGGAUGAUAUUUUGAACCGCAUGGUUCAAAAGUGAAAGACGGUCUUGCUGUCACGUAUAGAUGGAUCCGCGCUGCAUUAGCUAGUUGGUAAGGUAACGGCUUACCAAGGCAACGAUGCAUAGCCGACCUGAGAGGGUGAUCGGCCACACUGGAACUGAGACACGGUCCAGACUCCUACGGGAGGCAGCAGUAGGGAAUAUUCCGCAAUGGGCGAAAGCCUGACGGAGCAACGCCGCGUGAGUGAUGAAGGUCUUCGGAUCGUAAAACUCUGUUAUUAGGGAAGAACAUAUGUGUAAGUAACUGUGCACAUCUUGACGGUACCUAAUCAGAAAGCCACGGCUAACUACGUG